GGCGCGGUGGCCGAGUGGUCAGGCAGAGGUCUGCAACACCUUCCACGCCGGUUCGAUUCCGGCCCGUGCCUCCA
rnacentral:tRNA from 1 species